rnacentral:tRNA from 1 species
GUCCUUAUAGCUUAUUGAAAAGCGUGGCGUUGAAGGUGCUAAGAAAGAAUAAUGUUCUUGGGGACA